GAUGAACGCUAGCUACAGGCUUAACACAUGCAAGUCGAGGGGUAACGAGAGGAAAGCUUGCUUUCCUUGUCGACGACCGGCGCACGGGUGAGUAACGCGUAUCCAACCUGCCCCCAACUAAGGAAUAACCUUGCGAAAGUAAGACUAAUACCCUAUAAUUUCCUCAGAUGACAUCUGACGAGGAAUAAAGAUUUAUCGGUUGUGGAUGGGGAUGCGUCUGAUUAGCUUGUUGGCGGGGUAACGGCCCACCAAGGCAACGAUCAGUAGGGGUUCUGAGAGGAAGGUCCCCCACAUUGGAACUGAGACACGGUCCAAACUCCUACGGGAGGCAGCAGUGAGGAAUAUUGGUCAAUGGGCGGAAGCCUGAACCAGCCAAGUAGCGUGCAGGAUGACGGCCCUAUGGGUUGUAAACUGCUUUUAUACAGGAAUAAAGUUAGCCACGUGUGGUUAUUUGUAGGUACUGUAUGAAUAAGGACCGGCUAAUUCCGUGCCAGCCGCCGCGGUAACAC
rnacentral:rRNA from 1 species